rnacentral:rRNA from 1 species
AUACGGAGGGUGCAAGCGUUAUCCGGAUUUACUGGGUUUAAAGGGUACGCAGGCGGUAAUUUAAGUCAGUGGUGAAAGCCUACAGCUCAACUGUAGAACUGCCAUUGAAACUGAAUUACUAGAGUAUGGUAGAGGUAGGCGGAAUACAACAUGUAGCGGUGAAAUGCAUAGAUAUGUUGUAGAACACCGAUUGCGAAGGCAGCUUACUAAACCAUUACUGACGCUCAUGUACGAAAGCGUGGGGAGCGAACAGGAUUAGAAACCCUAGUAGUCC